UGUUGGGUGGUGAAAUUUUUGGCAGACACACCUCCUUGUCCCGGUGGCGGAGAAUUUGGGAAAUCAGUUUCGGCUGACUAACCACUCUGUGAAGGUUCGAAUCCUUCCCCAACAG
rnacentral:tRNA from 1 species